UCCGGUUUGUCACCGGCAGUCUCCUUAGAGUUCCCGGCAUUACCCGCUGGCAAAAAAGGACAAGGGUUGCGCUCGUUACGGGACUUAACCCAACACCUCACGGCACGAGCUGACGACAGCCAUGCACCACCUGUGAAGGUGCCCCGAAGGGAGACCGUGUUUCCACGGCUGUCACCUACAUGUCAAGGGUAGGUAAGGUUGUUCGCGUUGCAUCGAAUUAAUCCACAUCAUCCACCGCUUGUGCGGGUCCCCGUCAAUUCCUUUGAGUUUUAACUUUGCGGCCGUACUCCCCAGGCGGUCGACUUCACGCGUUAGCUACGGUACCAAGGAAUCGCUUCCCCAACACCUAGUCGACAUCGUUUAGGGCGUGGACUAC
rnacentral:misc_RNA from 1 species